rnacentral:rRNA from 1 species
GUUUGAUCCUGGCUCAGAUUGAACGCUGGCGGCAGGCCUAACACAUGCAAGUCGAGCGGUAACACAGAGAGCUUGCUCUCGGGUGACGAGCGGCGGACGGGUGAGUAAUGUCUGGGAAACUGCCUGAUGGAGGGGGAUAACUACUGGAAACGGUAGCUAAUACCGCAUAACGUCGCGAGACCAAAGUGGGGGACCUUCGGGCCUCAUGCCAUCAGAUGUGCCCAGAUGGGAUUAGCUAGUAGGUGGGGUAAUGGCUCACCUAGGCGACGAUCCCUAGCUGGUCUGAGAGGAUGACCAGCCACACUGGAACUGAGACACGGUCCAGACUCCUACGGGAGGCAGCAGUGGGGAAUAUUGCACAAUGGGCGCAAGCCUGAUGCAGCCAUGCCGCGUGUAUGAAGAAGGCCUUCGGGUUGUAAAGUACUUUCAGCGAGGAGGAAGGCGUUAAGGUUAAUAACCUUGGCGAUUGACGUUACUCGCAGAAGAAGCACCGGCUAACUCCGUGCCAGCAGCCGCGGUAAUACGGAGGGUGCAAGCGUUAAUCGGAAUUACUGGGCGUAAAGCGCACGCAGGCGGUCUGUCAAGUCGGAUGUGAAAUCCCCGGGCUCAACCUGGGAACUGCAUUCGAAACUGGCAGGCUAGAGUCUUGUAGAGGGGGGUAGAAUUCCAGGUGUAGCGGUGAAAUGCGUAGAGAUCUGGAGGAAUACCGGUGGCGAAGGCGGCCCCCUGGACAAAGACUGACGCUCAGGUGCGAAAGCGUGGGGGAGCAAACAGGAUUAGAUACCCUGGUAGUCCACGCCGUAAAACGAUGUCGACUUGGAGGUUGUGCCCUUGAGGCGUGGCUUCCGGAGCUAACGCGUUAAGUCGACCGCCUGGGGAGUACGGCCGCAAGGUUAAAACUCAAAUGAAUUGACGGGGGCCCGCACAAGCGGUGGAGCAUGUGGUUUAAUUCGAUGCAACGCGAAGAACCUUACCUACUCUUGACAUCCAGAGAACUUAGCAGAGAUGCUUUGGUGCCUUCGGGAACUCUGAGACAGGUGCUGCAUGGCUGUCGUCAGCUCGUGUUGUGAAAUGUUGGGUUAAGUCCCGCGACGAGCGCAACCCUUAUCCUUUGUUGCCAGCGGUUAGGCCGGGAACUCAAAGGAGACUGCCAGUGAUAAACUGGAGGAAGGUGGGGAUGACGUCAAGUCAUCAUGGCCCUUACGAGUAGGGCUACACACGUGCUACAAUGGCAUAUACAAAGAGAAGCGACCUCGCGAGAGCAAGCGGACCUCAUAAAGUAUGUCGUAGUCCGGAUUGGAGUCUGCAACUCGACUCCAUGAAGUCGGAAUCGCUAGUAAUCGUAGAUCAGAAUGCUACGGUGAAUACGUUCCCGGGCCUUGUACACACCGCCCGUCACACCAUGGGAGUGGGUUGCAAAAGAAGUAGGUAGCUUAACCUUCGGGAGGGCGCUUACCACUUUGUGAUUCAUGACUGGGGUGAAGUCGUAACAAGGUAACC